UGAUAUUAAUUGAAGGGCCGCGGUAUCUUGACCGUGCGAAGGUAGCAUAAUCAUUAGUCUUUUAAUUGAAGGCUUGUAUGAAUGGUCGGACAAAAAGUAAGCUGUCUCAUCCACAGAGUUUGAAUUUAACUUUUAAGUGAAAAGGCUUAAAUGUUCUAGGGGGACGAUAAGACCCUAUAAAGCUUUACAAUAACCAAGAUGCACUAAGAUUUGUUAGUAUAAUUUGGUCUAUUUGGGGUUUGUUUCGUUGGGGCGACGAGAAUAUAAAUUAAAUAACUGUUCUUUUUAGAUAUACAAUAUUAAUUGGUUAAAAAUUGAUCCUUUAUUAAAGAUUACAAGAUUAAGUUACUUUAGGGAUAACAGCGUAAUCUUCUUUGAGAGUCCAGAUCGACAAGAAGGGUUGCGACCUCGAUGUUGAAUU
rnacentral:rRNA from 1 species